UUUUAAUCCAAACCAUUUAACCAACUUAAAUCCAGAUCCAGAUCCAAAUCCAAAUUAGGAUCCGAAUUUGGAAAAUCCUAAUUCGGUGAACACAGUUCACACUACGCACAAAUCAAACGUGCUUCUCCUUCAAUGGUGUGGUCACAGCCAGUCUCUGUCGCAGGCCAUCGCCGCCGGAAUCUUCCAGAUCAACAAAUCCAAUCAUCAGCCACCUCGUUGAUUCUCUUGGAACCGUUAAAGACACUCCCGACCACGGCCAGAAGCUGUACGCUUACUUUUCCAUUUUUUCAUUGCGAUGUGUUUUCUUGCAAGGUAAAUUUUUUUUUGUAGGCACAACACGAGAUAGAGGAUAUUGAAGCUGGUGAAGGAUAUUUCUGCUAAGCUCAAGUCGUUGAGUGAAUUUGAUCGCCAUGCUUCUGGUGCUAAUAGAUUAGUUCAACAUCAACCAACCCAAAACCCCACUUCGGAGGAAUUGAGCAUUAGGAAGAUCAAGUUCAGAGCUUUCGAUUUGGUUAUCAAGUUCAUUAUUACAAGUUUGCGGUUAUCUUGUUCAUGGUCAACUUUUGUCAUAAGCCUAUCAAAACCAAAGAGUAAGAUGACUGAAAACAUUAAUAUUGAAGCAGCAGGGAUGUCCGCUAGCAGGUAGGUUUCAAAAGUGUAUUGAACUAGAAAAAAUCCAAUAUAAAGGCUUGCCAUGCAUGGAUAUUGACACUAGGUGGAACUCUACCUAUCAAAUGUUAGAGGUAGCUUUGAAGCAUCGCAAAGCAUUUGAGUUGCUUGCUUUGAAAUAUAAUACCUAUAUAGGAGAGAUGAAUGGAGGAAAAGGGAGAGGUGUUCCUUCUGAUUAAGACUGGGAGUAUGCUGAGUCCAUUGUACCAUUUUUGCGAGUAUUCAGUGAUGCCACUAUACGUGUUUCUGGUACCUUAUAUGUUACUAGUGAUAUGCAUAUGAAGGAAGUAUUUGCAAUUGGACGAUUUAUUCGUUAUUCUUGCGAUUCUGUUGAUUUUAGUACUAUGUCAAUGGUAGAAAGGAUGAAGGUUAAGUAUGAGAAGUAUUGGGACAAUCCUGAUUUGGUGAAUAUAUUGUUAUUGAUUGCUAUUGUACUUAAUCCAAUGCAAAAGAUUGAGUAUGUCAAUUAUUUCUUGAGAAGAAAAAGGAGGCGAAUUGAAGUCAAAGUUGUCCAAGUGUAUAAAGUUACUUUAUCAGCAAUACCAAAGUUCUGAGGAAGCAAGUGAAGCUGAUACGCAAGAUGUUCAAGCCAACAACAUUAAUACCGAUCUUCAUGGCAUGAGCUUUUUUCUACAAGCAAUCGGUCAUAGAACAAAUACAAGAUCUGAACUUGAUAGAUAUUUACAAGAAGAAUGCGAGCCAUACUCCCAUAAGUUCGAUAUACUAAACUGGUGAAAAGUCAACUCAACCCGAUUUCCAAUUCUUGGAAAUAUGGCUCGUGAGGUAUUGGCUAUAUCUGUUUCUACGGUAGCUUCAGAGUAUGCAUUUAGUACUGGAGGAAGAGUCAUCGAUCUAUACCGCAGUUCCUUAACACCUAGAAUGGUAGAGGCCUUAGUCUGCACAGGAGAUUGGCUUAAGGAAGAUCUUUUCUCUACUUUAGAUGAUGAUGGUGAAGUUCUUCAACAAGUUGAUCAAGAUAUAUUUUCCUCUAAUGAUGGUGCUUGUUUUAUGGUGGCAUCAAUUGAUAAUCUUGAUGAUGACUAGAUAUAUUUUUCUCAAAGAACUAAGGCUCUGGUCAUUGGAGAACAAAGACUGUAGCCUUAGGAUCGGACUAGGAUAUAUGCGACUGUCCCAUCGCUAAAGAUGGAGCCGACAGUGACGUUCGUUGAUCGAUGAAGCUGCUUUCUGCGGUGAUUUAGACUUGGGAGUAUGUUCGACUGGUUGAGCUGUGUAUCCCUCUGUAUAUUCUACCCAGCCGCCUUAUCUUUCUCUACUUUUUAUUCGUUCUUUAACCCAAAAACUCCGCUUUCUGAGUUUCGUUAUGAUGAUUUUUUCCAGCCAUCCAGCACUAGCCAUGAGUAUCCACAACCACAUGUGAUCAACGACGGAGCUCAGAAAUACGUUUUGCAUUUUGAAGAUACCGGACGUCUUGUGAUGUUUUAGAGAUUAGAGUGUUUUUCCGUCUCUUUUGUUAGUAUUUUUCUUUAGAGGUAGGACUUUAUUGUUUUUCUUGUUAGUUUGAGUACCAAACUAGGGUUUAUCUAAAUAGGCCAUGACUAAUAUAUGUUUAUGUCGACUAUGUACUACUUUACUGGGAUAAUUGUAUCUGGGUUGAUAUGAGUGUUGUAGUGUCUCUUCUAACGUUUAUGUGAAAGCCCUCACGGCAUUGUGGGAUGCAUCUGUUUACACACGCACAAAAAAAGUAUCAAAUGAAUCUUUGAAAAGUUGCAACAUUGGACACAUUUCAUCUUUUUGUUUGCAAGUUUUCCAUGCUAUUAUUCAAGGACUUAUAAGCCUAAAAUUCUCGAGGGAUAUAGAAUAUAAUAAAAUUUAGUUGUGAAACAAAAUGUUUGAUGUAAAAUUCUCUGAGUGUCUGAUUGAGUAUAUCUUCUUAUUGAGUACACUGGAUUCUAUUUAUAGGGACAUACAAGAUAAGUCAACUAUGAUGCAU